rnacentral:rRNA from 1 species
UACGUAGGGUGCAAGCGUUAAUCGGAAUUACUGGGCGUAAAGCGUGCGCAGGCGGUGAUGUAAGACAGAUGUGAAAUCCCCGGGCUCAACCUGGGAACUGCAUUUGUGACUGCAUCGCUGGAGUACGGCAGAGGGGGAUGGAAUUCCGCGUGUAGCAGUGAAAUGCGUAGAUAUGCGGAGGAACACCGAUGGCGAAGGCAAUCCCCUGGGCGAC